UCAAAACACCAGUUCUUGUACGAUCAUCAGAGUUAAGCAUAGUUGAGCCUGGUCAGUACCUAGAUGGGUGACCACUUGGGAAGACUGGGUGCUGUAC